UACGGGGGGAGCAAGCGUUGUUCGGAUUUACUGGGCGUAAAGAGCGCGCAGGCGGUCGUUCAAGUCGAGUGUGAAAGCCCCCGGCUCAACUGGGGAGGGUCAUUCGAUACUGAUCGACUCGAAGGCAGGAGAGGGUAGUGGAAUUCCCGGUGUAGUGGUGAAAUGCGUAGAUAUCGGGAGGAACACCAGUGGCGAAGGCGACUACCUGGCCUGUUCUUGACGCUGAGGCGCGAAAGCUAAGGGGAGCAAACGGG
rnacentral:rRNA from 1 species